rnacentral:rRNA from 1 species
CUACGGGUCGCAGCAGUGGGGAAUAUUGGGCAAUGGGCGAAAGCCUGACCCAGCAAUACCGCGUGAGUGAUGAAGGCCUUCGGGUUGUAAAGCUCUUUUAGUAGGGAAGAAAAUGACGGUACCUACAGAAAAAGCCCCGGCUAACUUCGUGCCAGCAGCCGCGGUAAUACGAAGGGGGCUAGCGUUGUUCGGAAUCACUGGGCGUAAAGGGCGCGUAGGUGGUUUGGCAAGUUGGAAGUGAAAUCCCGGGGCUUAACUUCGGAACUGCUUCCAAAACUGCUUGACUAGAGUGCGAUAGGGGGUGAUGGAAUUCCUAGUGUAGGGGUGAAAUCCUUAGAUAUUAGGAGGAACACCAAUGGCGAAGGCAGUCACCUGGGUCGACACUGACACUGAGGCGCGAAAGCGUGGGUAGCAAACAGGAUUAGAUACCCGAGUAGUC